CAGCAGCCACGGUAAUACGUAGGUGGCAGGCGUUGUCCGGAAUUAUUGGGCGUAAAGGGCUCGCAGGCGGUUUCUUAAGUCUGAUGUGAAGGCCCCCGGCUCAACCGGGGAGGGUCAUUGGAAACUGGGAAACUUGAGUGCAGUAGAGGAGAGUGGAAUUCCACGUGUAGCGGUGAAAUGCGUAGAGAUGUGGAGGAACACCAGUGGCGAAGGCGACUCUCUGGUCUGUAACUGACGCUGAGGGGCGAAAGCGUGGGGAGCGAACAGGAUUAGAUACCCCUGUAGUCCCUGUCUCUUAUAC
rnacentral:rRNA from 1 species